UACGUAGGUGGCAAGCGUUGUCCGGAUUUACUGGGCGUAAAGAGCGCGCAGGCGGUCGAUUAAGUCGAGUGUGAAAGCCCCCGGCUCAACUGGGGAGGGUCAUUUGAUACUGGUCGACUCGAAGGCAGGAGAGGGAAGUGGAAUUCCCGGUGUAGUGGUGAAAUGCGUAGAUAUCGGGAGGAACACCAGUGGCGAAGGCGACUUCCUGGCCUGUUCUUGACGCUGAGGCGCGAAAGCUAGGGGAGCAAACGGG
rnacentral:rRNA from 1 species